CUUGUUUAAAACUUAUAAUUACCGAGUUAAACGCAAAACAAAACAAAAUUUUCAUUUAAUGAUUUUCCCGAAAUACACUUCUCGGAAGCGUUGAAGCCGAACUCUUAAUUUAUUUGUGGAUUGUUUUUUAAAUGCAGGAUGAUGAGGUAAAUAAUUUCAACUGCUGACGAAUGAGGGUGCCUCUCCAUUUGGCCUGUGAGAUGUAUUCAUGGAUAAAUUUCUUAGAUUAAAAAAAAAAAAAGAUUCUAGGAUUUAAAGAGAAACGUAUUUCUAGGAAAACUGGUUUUGAGUUCAGGUUAAGAGGGAGUUCAGCUAUGAAAGAACUAGACGGUUGUACUAUUUGAAUUUAUAUGUGCAUCUAAUGACGGCACCUACUCCUGGUUUGUUUUUUGCUCUAUCGGUGUAACUGUAUUAGGAAAUUUGUGCUGGAAUUUUAGAAACUGUUGGUGAUACGAUAUGGGUGAAGUAGUAUCUUUCGGAAAUGUUCAUAAGGAUAAGGAAAUUAAAACAAUCUCUUUGGAGAAAGAAGGAAUUUGGUGGCAAAAUAUCGGAAGAAUUGGUCGUUUUGUUGAGAAAGAGUUUUUCGCACAAAAAAGAAAUUGAAGUACUUUACACAGGCAUCAGUAAGGCAUUUGAUUGUCACUUUUAAUUUGCUUUUAUCGAAAUAAAAUAAUCGUCCGCGGUUCGCCAUCUUCAAAGUUGUGGUCUGCGAGUGGGAGGCACUCCUGGACAGCACCAAAGUGGUUGGUUGUAGAUGGUGGUCCCCGUCUCGAACAGCCUUGGUUGUCCUUCGUUGGCCUGUGGUUUGGACACUGGAUAGCUGCAAGUGGAUCCGGAACUUUCU